AGCGAACGCUGGCGGCAGGCUUAACACAUGCAAGUCGAGCGGGCAUAGCAAUAUGUCAGCGGCAGACGGGUGAGUAACGCGUGGGAACGUACCUUUUGGUUCGGAACAACUGAGGGAAACUUCAGCUAAUACCGGAUAAGCCCUUACGGGGAAAGAUUUAUCGCCGAAAGAUCGGCCCGCGUCUGAUUAGCUAGUUGGUGAGGUAAUGGCUCACCAAGGCGACGAUCAGUAGCGGGUCUGAGAGGAUGAUCAGCCACAUUGGGACUGAGACACGGCCCAAACUCCUACGGGAGGCAGCUGUGGGGAAUAUUGGGCAAUGGGCGCAAGCCUGAUCCAGCCAUGCCGCGUGAGUGAUGAAGGCCCUAGGGUUGUAAAGCUCUUUUGUGCGGGAAGAUAAUGACGGUACCGCAAGAAUAAGCCCCGGCUAACUUCGUGCCAGCAGCCGCAGUAA
rnacentral:rRNA from 1 species